GACAGAGGUGCCGAGCGUUAGGCGGAAUCACUGGGCUUAAAGCGUGUGUAGGUGGAUGUCUAAGUACCUUGUGAAAUCCCACGGCUUAACCGUGGAACUGCUCGGUAUACUGGAUGUCUUGAGCCAGCUAGGGGCUGACCGGAACAAAUGGUGGAGCGGUGAAAUGCGUAGAUAAUCAUUUGGAACGCCAAUGGUGAAAACAGGUAGCUGGGGCUGUGGCUGACACU
rnacentral:rRNA from 1 species